CAUGCGGGGUUGUGGGAUCUCUUUUUCACAGUCUGCCGGCUGUGAGGCGAGUCAGAAACCGUUGAUGUAGGCGAAGGACAUGCGAAAGGUCCGGCGUAGAGGGUAAGACCCCCGUAGCUGAAACAUUAACGGCUCGUUUGAGAGACACCCAAGUAGCACGGGGCCCGAGAAAUCCCGUGUGAAUCUGGCGGGACCACCCGCUAAGCCUAAAUAUUCCCUGGUGACCGAUAGCGGAUAGUACCGUGAGGGA
rnacentral:rRNA from 1 species